rnacentral:rRNA from 1 species
GAUGAACGCUUGCGGCGUGCCUAAUACAUGCAAGUCGAGCGAACAGACGAGGAGCUUGCUCCUUUGACGUUAGCGGCGGACGGGUGAGUAACACGUAGGUAACCUACCUAUAAGACUGGGAUAACUUCGGGAAACCGGAGCUAAUACCGGAUAAUAUUUCGAACCGCAUGGUUCGAUAGUGAAAGAUGGCUUUGCUAUCACUUAUAGAUGGACCUGCGCCGUAUUAGCUAGUUGGUAAGGUAACGGCUUACCAAGGCAACGAUACGUAGCCGACCUGAGAGGGUGAUCGGCCACACUGGAACUGAGACACGGUCCAGACUCCUACGGGAGGCAGCAGUAGGGAAUCUUCCGCAAUGGGCGAAAGCCUGACGGAGCAACGCCGCGUGAGUGAUGAAGGUCUUCGGAUCGUAAAACUCUGUUAUUAGGGAAGAACAAACGUGUAAGUAACUGUGCACGUCUUGACGGUACCUAAUCAGAAAGCCACGGCUAACUACGUG